CCGCUGAUCGUCUAGCUGGUUUAUGGCGUCAGACUGUAAUUUAACACUUUCCAGAUCAUCUGAAUGUCGUGAGUUCGACUCUCACUCAGCGGA